UACAUGCUCCUAUCACGUCCGAUUUAGCCACGGCUACGCACAUUCACGACACUGACUCGAAUGACUAAUAAAAGUGCAUCAAUCAUGUGGUGAUGGUGGUCGAUCUUCUAUACAAUUCGCAGCGAGGUUAAGUUACAGACAAUAGCCACAUUCUAGUUUGCGAUAACGCUGAUUCCGAUUUCUGAAACGACAUACGUGUCUAGUAAACUAGAUGUGCAAGGAGUAUUGUAAAAAUAUGUUUUUCGUACAAACUUCUUUCCUAUUAUCACAAAAUCAUUCAACUGCACAUGUCGUACUAUUUGUUGAACAAUUAUAACACUACCAUCUUCUAAACCGCAACAAUUAUUAUCACCAUUUCGCAAAAUUGUAGAGCCAAUUAUAAUACAGUUGCAUAAUGAUGCAACACUACUGGGAAUAAAAAAGUGUAUUAUAGACUGCCUAAGACAUGCCAAACAAAGAUACAUAAGACAUUCGAACAAUGACAAUGAGGAAGCAGCAAGACCAUAAACAAUAUUACUUUUAUUACUUUUCGUAUUAUGUUUAUGUUUCGUGUCAUAUCGGAGGUAUGUGGUUAAAGCUUUUUCUUUGUGCUGCAAGAACUUACAAGAAUUUUUUAUUUACUUUUAACACUUAGAAACUUGUGAUAAUUUUAAGAGGUACUGUUAAGAGUUAUGUUUAUAAAGUUUAUAAAGUUUCCUUUUAUAAAUGAAAAGUUAUGUUAUUGUAAACUUUAUGUUUUUUUAAAGAGAUUUGUUACUAUUAUAUAAGAUUAAUAUAUACUUCUACAGCCGAUUUUUACAUUGAAAGACUGAUUAUAUAAAUAAACAUUUAUUCUGCAAUGUAAA
rnacentral:lncRNA from 1 species